CCAAAGUGUACAUAAUUUAUCAAUAUAAUUAGGACUUAGAAGCUGUUCACAUGAGUUUGAUUCUGACCCAGCACCCUUGGCUAGCUCCCCUUGCCCGAUCACAAGCUAAGUAGAAAACCUCCAACCCCCUCUGACAAAUCAGUCCAGAUCUGCCCAAGAGGCAGGAUUUUCUGGAAUAUUAUUAGCAGUGAAAUUGUUGCAUAUUUUCAAGCAUGCAUUGUAACCUGAUUUUAAAGCCUGUUUGAACAUCAAACAUUGUGGCAAUGGCAUGAUGGUCCAGCCAUAUGAAUACAAUCUUAAAAUAUCAUAAAAACAAUGCAAUUUAAGGCCAGACAGCCCAACUCCUGCGAACAGCCCUUUAUUACACAUUCGAAGCAUCUAUUGAGGCAUCAAAGUACAUGCAGGCACAUGGAAUUACAUACGACUAUGUGACAUAAGCCCACCAUUGCACAACUUUGUCUGCAACAAUGCAAAUACAAUCAAGCUGGAAACGGAUUUUAUCAGUAUUUUGAUAUAUACAUUAUGGGUCAUGUCUAAAGACAUCUGCACUUUCAUAUUGAAAUUGUUCUGAUAUCAUCCUAACAAAACACAUCAGAAAACUGUAACAUCAGCCAAAUGAGAAAAUCACUUUUUUAACACAAUUUAUGGUAAAAUGAAGCAACAUGUAAUAGUAUCUGAAACAAAACCAA
rnacentral:lncRNA from 1 species